AGGAAUAUUGGUCAAUGGACGCAAGUCUGAACCAGCCAUGCCGCGUGCAGGAUGAAUGUGCUAUGCAUUGUAAACUGCUUUUGUACGAGGGUAAAAACAGGUACGUGUACCUGGUUGAAAGUAUCGUACGAAUAAGGGUCGGCUAACUCCGUGCCAGCAGCCGCGGUAAUACGGAGGACCCGAGCGUUAUCCGGAUUUAUUGGGUUUAAAGGGUGCGUAGGCGGAUUGGUAAGUUAGAGGUGAAAGCUCAGCGCUUAACGUUGAAACUGCCUCUGAUACUGUCGGUCUAGAGUAUAGUUGCGGAAGGCGGAAUGUGUGGUGUAGCGGUGAAAUGCUUAGAUAUCACACAGAACACCGAUUGCGAAGGCAGCUUUCCAAGCUAUCACUGACGCUGAGGCACGAAAGCGUGGGGAGCGAACAGGAUUAGAUACCCUGGUAGUCCACGCCGUAAACGAUGAUAACUCGUUGCAGGCGAUACACAGUCUGUGACUUAGCGAAAGCGUUAAGUUAUCCACCUGGGGAGUACGUUCGCAAGAAUGAAACUCAAAGGAAUUGACGGGGGCCCGCACAAGCGGAGGAACAUGUGGUUUAAUUCGAUGAUACGCGAGGAACCUUACCCGGGCUUGAAAGUUAGCGACGGAUCCUGAAAGGGGUCUUCUCUUCGGAGCACGAAACUAGGUGCUGCAUGGUUGUCGUCAGCUCGUGCCGUGAGGUGUCGGGUUAAGUCCCAUAACGAGCGCAACCCCUACUGUUAGUUACCAGCACGUCAUGGUGGGCACUCUAGCAGGACUGCCGGUGUAAGCCGAGAGGAAGGUGGGGAUGACGUCAAAUCAGCACGGCCCUUACGUCCGGGGCGACACACGUGUUACAAUGGUCGGUACAGAGGGUCGCUACCCUGUGAAGGGAUGCCAAUCUCGAAAGCCGAUCUCAGUUCGGAUUGGAGGCUGAAACUCGCCUCCAUGAAGUUGGAUUCGCUAGUAAUCGCGCAUCAGCCAUGGCGCGGUGAAUACGUUCCCG
rnacentral:rRNA from 1 species